rnacentral:rRNA from 1 species
GCAUCGAUGAAGAACGCAGCGAAAUGCGAUACUUGGUGUGAAUUGCAGAAUCCCGCGAACCAUCGAGUCUUUGAACGCAAGUUGCGCCCCAAGCUGUUAGGCUGAGGGCACGUCUGCCUGGGUGUCACG